UUUUUUUCUCUUGUCUUUCUCCUCUUGUUCCCUCGGUUCGGAGACCCUAGCUGCUUCCAAAUUGUACGCUAAAUUCAUUUUGCUUAAUGAAUGAAGCAGGUAGCUUGCUACCUAUUUCUCAAAAAAAAAUAUAUAUACUAUUUUACCCACUAUCCUUCUUAUUCCACCUACUCCAACCAAACACUAUUUUAACCUAUAUCUAGACUAAACCCAAUUCUCAACCAAACACAAAAUUACUCUAGCCCCAUCUUAACCCUGAACUUAACUCUAUCCCUGAAAUAACAAGUUUUUACUUAACUCCAAACCAAACGGUGGGGGUGUUUGUUUGGAUGGAAGUGAGGGGGAAGUGGAGAGAAGGGAAAUCGUUUACGUCGUAAACUAUCACUUCCGUUGUUUGGUUCACCGUAAAAUAGUUACGGCGAGAACUCGAGUUAACCCGAAAUGGCAUAAUUGACUUCGGCCCAUUGUGGGCCGAAAUCAAUUACGGUUAAGGAGAGUAAAAAAAAUAAUAAUAAAAUAAUAUACUAGAUAAAGAUAAUUAUAUUUAAUUAUGGUAUUAAUUAUUUUUUUAUUUGGUUGACAUAUCUAAAAUAUGAUAAAAAUUGAUUAAUCAAGUAUUAAUUUUUUUUACUUCAUAGUUUUAUUGUUGUAUUAUUAUAAUUUAUGUAUAAAAAAAUAAUUUAGUUGUUUUAAAUUAAAUUUUAAUUAUAUAAAAUAUAAUUAUAUUAUUUUUAUUUAUUAAAUUAUUUAUUAUUUAUAUAUAAAUUAUAGUUUUACAUCAUACACUUUCUACCAAACAAACAGCAGAACUAAUGAAACUCCACUUGCAUAACUACAAAACAAACAGCGGAAAAUAAAUAGUUUUCACCGAACUCCACCUCAAUCCAAAGUCCAUUUCAACCCAAAGUCAAGUUUCGGUGAAACAAACAUGUCUUUUAAAGGGUUAAUUUGUUUUGGUGUAAGUGGAGUGAUAGAACUCAAGUUCCAUCACUUUCGUUAUUUGUUUUGAUAUAAGUCAAAAAUAUAAUGUAACUCUUACCUACUCUCGAUUUUCUCCUCUAAAGUGCCGAACUCGACUUCCGCCACUCUCAAUCUUCUCUAAAAUAUUUAUUAAAUAGUAAAAUAUAAACUCUACUUACUUUAUAAUAGAUUAGAAUUAUCUUAUUUAUAAUAAAUUAGAAUUACUUUUAUAUAAUAAUAAAAAAUUUAAUUAUAUAAUAGAUUAAAUUUUAUAGCGGUAAAUUUAUCACUAAAUUUAGGAGAUAAUGGAAUCCACUUACUUACAUCAAAACAAACAACAAAACUCAAAAAAUUAAUUUUUACCAGUAUCAAGUUACAUCAAAACAACCAGAAGAAGUAAUUGAAUUUAAUUUUCAGACUGUGCGAGUUACGUUAAAACAAACAACAAAAAUAUAAUCACAUUUCUUUUCUUUUUUUUUGAAAGAGAUAGGUAGCAUGCUACCCGCUUCGUUUAUUUCAUUUAGAAAUAAACUUAGCUGGAAAUGUGAAUCAACUAGGAUUCGAACUUGAGUUUCGGGUACCAACCAUCAAGCCCUUUGCCACUUGCUCUGGAAAAGGUCGGUAAUAUAAUCACAUUUUAGAAAAACUCAAAUACCACUAUACUUGACUUACGUUGGAUCUACAUAUUCAUCAAUCCAAACGCCCCCUACGAGCUCACAAGUACA
rnacentral:lncRNA from 1 species